rnacentral:rRNA from 1 species
UUGAACGCUGGCGGCAUGCUUUACACAUGCAAGUCGAACGGCAGCGGGGGCUUCGGCCUGCCGGCGAGUGGCGAACGGGUGAGUAAUGCAUCGGAACGUACCCAGUCGUGGGGGAUAACUACGCGAAAGCGUGGCUAAUACCGCAUACGCCCUGAGGGGGAAAGCGGGGGACCUUCGGGCCUCGCGUUAUUGGAGUGGCCUAGGCCUGAUUAGCUAGUUGGUGAGGUAAAGGCUCACCAAGGCGACGAUCAGUAGCUGGUCUGAGAGGAUGAUCAGCCACACUGGAACUGAGACACGGUCCAGACUCCUACGGGAGGCAGCAGUGGGGAAUUUUGGACAAUGGGGGAAACCCUGAUCCAGCCAUUCCGCGUGAGUGAAGAAGGCCUUCGGGUUGUAAAGCUCUUUCAGGAGGGAAGAAACGGUUACGGAUAAUACCUGUGACUAAUGACGGUACCUUCAGAAGAAGCACCGGCUAACUACGU